CUCGCGCCCGGGAACUCCGCCGAGGCCGCGGCGAGGGGCGGGGCGCGAGGGAGGUCCGCAGCCCGGAAGUCGGUGUGCCCGGAGCUAACGGGAGGCCCCGGCGAGCGGUCGGCAGGGCGGGAUCCAGGAUUCAACCUGGAAUCAUUUCAUUUCAGCCUGAAGCAGUUCCUUUAAUAUUUCUUGUACUGUGGGUCUACUGGUUAAACAGUUUAAAAUGAGAAAACUUGACCUUUGUUUGGGCUCUGAAGGGUCUGAAGUGAUUUUGGCUACAUCAAGUGAUGAAAAACACCCACCUGAGAGUAUCAUUGAUGGGAAUCCAGAAACAUUUUGGACAACCACAGGAAUGUUUCCCCAGGAAUUUAUUAUUUUUUUUCACAAACAUGUGAGGAUUGAAAGGUUUAUAAUCCAAAGUUACUUCGUGCGGACCUUAAAGAUUGAAAGGACCACGUCUAAAGAUCCAGUUGAUUUUGAACAGUGGAUUGAAAAAGACUUUGUACACACAGAGGGGCAGCUUCAAACUGAAGAAGUUUUGGAGGCGAGCCCAGGCCCAGGCUUCUUCAGAUGGAGUCUCAGCAUUCUAAAAGGUAGCAAGAAAGGAAAAGCCUCAGUGUACAAACACCUUUGAGCUUCUACUUGCCAACAGAUUUACUGUUGUCCUUUGGACCAAAUCAUGUCAUGCAGCCAUGUCUAACAUCAGAACAAGAGGGGUCUCCCCAAGGGUGUGAAUACAGGAAGCAUAAACAGAGCAGGUGGGCGGGGUGGGGUGGGUGGGGGAAGGGAGGGUUGUUACCGCUACACAAUCAAACACAGCACGCCUCCUGAUGUGACACUCUGUGCUGCACACAGAUCAACCUAUGAAAUACACUGGCCAGGGGCAUUACCCCAUUUUUAUUUUAUUUUAUUUUAUUUUUUUGAGACAGAAUCUCAAGUUGUUGCCCUGAGUAGAGUGCCAAUGUGUCACAACUCACAGUAACUUCAAGCUCUUGGGCUUAAGUGAUUCUCUUGCUUCAGCGUCCCAAGUAGCUUGAGCUACAGGUGUCUGCUACAACACCCGACUAAUUUUUGGUUGUAGUUGUCAUUGUUGUUUGGCACACCCAGGUUGGAUUCGAACCCACCAGCUCCGGUGCAUGUGGCUGGUACCCUAGCCGCUGCACUACAGGCGCCGAGCCAGGGUGAGCAUUUAAUUACCAACAUAAGACCCUUCAGAGUUCUUUUCUUCACCCCCUUCACCACCACCCCCCACCCCCCCGUCCCAUGAUGGCCAGCAAUGUUUUAUGUAGUAAUUACUUUCUCUAUCUGGGUCUGGGAGUGAGACUGAUGAUGUUUAACAGAUAGCAGAGCUCCCACGCACUCGGAGAUGGACAUACAAAAGGAGUGAGAAAUAAAGCUUCAUUGUUUUAAGCCAUGAGAUUUGGGAAUUGCUCGUGACCAUGGUAUAAUGUAGCUUUUUCUAAUGAUACAAACACAAAUCCAGAAUGUGGCCCUCCUACAGGACAAGUGACCUGGUUUCUUCAGCAAAUCGGUGGCAUAGAAAAUGUUAAUUAAGGAAGAGGGUCCAUUGUAGAUUCAAGGAGACAUAAAGGCCCCUUUAAUCACAUGUCAUGUGUGGAUCAUGAUGGAGACCGAUUUGAAUAAACAAAUUGAAAAAGGACAAACUUAAGAACACUUGAGGAAAUUGUGGACUGGGUAUUAUUCAUUUUGCCAGGAGUGAAUUAAAAAAAUGAAUUCAUACUGAUGUAAGAGAAACAGCACAAAAGAACAAAACAAAUAUGUAAGAAGAUGCCUGUGUUUUUGUAGAAAUUUGCAGGGAACUAUGUGUGGGUGAAAUGGCAUGCGUGAUAUCUGGCAUUUGCUUUAAAACACAAGAGCACACAUUUUUUAUAAUGGAAAGUGGGUUAGUUGAAGCAAAUGCGACAAUAAAUGAUUAAGUCUAGGUGAUGGACAUAUGGAGGUUCAUUGUGCUAGUCUUUCUGCUUUUAUUAUAUGCUUGAAACUCUUCCUAAUAAAGAAUAGAAAUAAACAAUGCGAUAGAGGACAUCCUUGAGUGUACAUGGGAUGGAAUCUCAUGAGAUUCCAAGAUGGAAAUUAGUCCACGUUAGGAACAGUUUUCAGGCUCCCAGUUCUUCCUGAUUGCUUGCCAAGAUUUGUUACACAGGUUUACUCUUGGAAAGGUAAGUGGGGGCGAGUAGGGAAGGCGUUUCAAGAGCAGCGUUGCUGUAAUGGAAGAUGUGAAGAUGAGAACUUAUUCAUAAAACACCUUUGGGGAAAGAUGAACAGGUAAGUCUAACUAGAGCAAAGAGUAAGUCUAAAACCAAACAUUGCAGCUAGAUCACAGGCCUUUCACGUUUUCAGAUAUUUUCUUGUAACACCGGAACCCUUUAAGGUUUCCGAGAAGGAAUGCGAGUUAGAACAAUUGUGUUUAUGUUCAAUAAAAUGAAAUGCUGAGGAUUUUCUUCUUGCCGAGUGCCUGAACUGAAACGUCAGUAGCUCUUCCUGUGAUAAGCACUGUGGGACGGCUCGCAGGCUGGAAGGGAUCUCCAGCGGUUAUUUGAGUGAUCUCUUUGGCACAGAGGGUCUUUUCUCUUUGUCUUCUGUGGAUGCAGAGAGCAAGUGAUCACUGUAGAAUUUGCAAUACCACUUACUGUCUGACAUUUGAAAACACUAGCCUUCAUCUUCAUCUUCCUAGGAUUUAAAAAAUUCAUUUUCACCUAUGAAACUACUCCAGUUUCAGGAAAUAGAUUAGAUACAUGGCUUUACCUUUAUGCUUUGUUUUGAUUUUCAUUGCCUAACCUCGUCUUUUUAAUUUAAAGUCUCAUUUCUCCUCAGUUGACAUCUUCUUUUUUUUUUUUUGUAGAGACAGAGUCUCACUGUACCGCCCUCGGGUAGAGUGCCGUGGCGUCACACGGCUCACAGCAACCUCUAACUCUUGGGCUUACGCGAUUCUGUUGCCUCAGCCUCCGGAGCAGCUGGGACUACAGGCGCCCCCCACAACGCCCGGCUAUUUUUUGUUGUUGUUGUUGCAGUUUGGCCGGGGCUGGGUUUGAACCCGCCACCCUUGUUAUAUGGGGCCGGUGCCCUACUCACUGAGCCACAGGCGCUGCCCUCAGUUGACAUCUUCUAUCCCCUUUCAUGGGGCCUUUUCUCCACCUGCCCAGGGACCCCGGUCAUUGCCCUGUGUGCUGUGUGACUGAGGUUUGGUGUUGGCUGUGUCUGCUGGUAUCUGCAUAGCUAGCUUCCUCAUUUACUUCAGACCAUUACUCAAAAUUUCCUCCUUGACUGGGUGUGGUGGCUCACA